GAUGAACGCUGGCGGCGUGCCUAAUACAUGCAAGUCGAGCGAACAGAUGAGGAGCUUGCUCCUCUGACGUUAGUGGCGGACGGGUGAGUAACACGUGGAUAACCUACCUAUAAGACUGGGAUAACUUCGGGAAACCGGAGCUAAUACCGGAUAAUAUAUUGAACCGCAUGGUUCAAUAGUGAAAGACGGUUUUGCUGUCACUUAUAGAUGGAUCCGCGCCGCAUUAGCUAGUUGGUAAGGUAACGGCUUACCAAGGCAACGAUGCGUAGCCGACCUGAGAGGGUGAUCGGCCACACUGGAACUGAGACACGGUCCAGACUCCUACGGGAGGCAGCAGUAGGGAAUCUUCCGCAAUGGGCGAAAGCCUGACGGAGCAACGCCGCGUGAGUGAUGAAGGCCUUCGGAUCGUAAAACUCUGUUAUUAGGGAAGAACAAAUGUGUAAGUAACUAUGCACGUCUUGACGGUACCUAAUCAGAAAGCCACGGCUAACUACGUG
rnacentral:rRNA from 1 species